UACGAAGGGGGCUAGCGUUGUUCGGAAUUACUGGGCGUAAAGCGCACGUAGGCGGAAUGUUAAGUCAGGGGUGAAAUCCCGGGGCUCAACCCCGGAACUGCCUUUGAUACUGGCAUUCUCGAGUCCGGAAGAGGUGAGUGGAAUUCCGAGUGUAGAGGUGAAAUUCGUAGAUAUUCGGAGGAACACCAGUGGCGAAGGCGGCUCACUGGUCCGGUACUGACGCUGAGGUGCGAAAGCGUGGGGAGCAAACA
rnacentral:rRNA from 1 species